rnacentral:rRNA from 1 species
AAAGACUUGACGGUACUUCACAACAACCUAGAGGAGCCUGUCUAAUAACCGAUACCCCACGAUUAACCCCACCUACCCUAGCCUUAACAGUCUAUAUACCGCCGUCGCCAGCCUACCUUAUGAAAGAAAUAAAGUAAGCACAAUAAGACUACCCCUUAACACGACAGGUCGAGGUGUAACUAAUGAGUAGGAAAAAGAUGGACUACAUUUUCUAAUACAGAAUACACGAAUAAACUAUGAAACUAGAAACUGAAGGCGGAUUUAGCAGUACAAUAAGAAUAGAAUACCUAACU